rnacentral:rRNA from 1 species
AACGAACGCUGGCGGCAGGCUUAACACUUGCAAGUCGAGCGCCCCGCAAGGGGAGCGGCAGACGGGUGAGUAACGCGUGGGAAUCUACCCAUCUCUACGGAAUAACGCAUGGAAACGUGUGCUAAUACCGUAUACGUCCUUCGGGAGAAAGAUUUAUCGGAGAUGGAUGAGCCCGCGUUGGAUUAGCUAGUUGGUGGGGUAAAGGCCUACCAAGGCGACGAUCCAUAGCUGGUCUGAGAGGGUGAUCAGCCACACUGGGACUGAGACACGGCCCAGACUCCUACGGGAGGCAGCAGUGGGGAAUAUUGGACAAUGGGCGCAAGCCUGAUCCAGCCAUGCCGCGUGAGUGAUGAAGGCCCUAGGGUUGUAAAGCUCUUUCACCGGUGAAGAUAAUGACGGUAACCGGAGAAGAAGCCCCGGCUAACUUCGUGCCAGCCGCCGCAGUAACAC